rnacentral:rRNA from 1 species
UUUUCCCGUUGAUCCUGCCGGAGGUCACUGCUAUUGGGAUUCGACUAAGCCAUGCGAGUCGAGAGGGUUCGGCCCUCGGCAGACGGCUCAGUAACACGUGGAUAAUCUGCCCUUAGGUGGAAGAUAACCUCGGGAAACUGAGAAUAAUAUUCCAUAGAUCUAGGAUGCUGGAAUGCACUUAGAUUUAAAGCUUCGGCGCCUAAGGAUGAGUCUGCGGACUAUCAGGUAGUAGUCAGGGUAAAGGCCUGACUAGCCUACGACGGAUAUGGGUUGUGAGAGCAAUAACCCAGAGACGAUAUCUGAGACACGAUAUCGGGCCCUACGGGGCGCAGCAGGCGCGAAAACUUCACAAUGUGCGAAAGCACGAUGAGGGAAUCCCAAGUGCUUGCUCGUAAGGGUAAGCUGUUUUUAUGUCUAAAAUGCAUAGAGAGUAAGGGCUGGGUAAGACGGGUGCCAGCCGCCGCGGUAAUACCUGCAGCUCAAGUGGUGACCGCUAUUAUUGGGCCUAAAACGUUCGUAGCCGGUUUAUUAAAUGCCUGGGUAAAUCGUGUAGCUUAACUAUACGAAUUCCGGGUAGACUGAUAGACUUGAGACCGGGAGAAGCUAGAGGUACUCCUGGGGUAGAGGUGAAAUUCUGUAAUCCUGGGGGGACCACCAGUGGCGAAGGCGUCUAGCUAGAACGGGUCUGACGGUGAGGAACGAAGCCCUGGGGCGCAAACCGGAUUAGAUACCCGGGUAGUCCAGGGUGUAAACGCUGCUUGCUUGAUGUUAGUUGGGCUCCGAGCCCAAUUAGUGUCGGAGAGAAGUUGUUAAGCAAGCUGCCUGGGAAGUACGAUCGCAAGAUUGAAACUUAAAGGAAUUGGCGGGGGAGCACAGCAACGGGUGGAGCGUGCGGUUUAAUUGGAUUCAACGCCGGGAAUCACUAGU